ensembl:lncRNA
GUGCCCAAAUUUGGGGUUUCUGGACCCAUUUUGGCCAACGGGAAGAAGGGAGACCCAACUGGUAGUCAUGUGGGGGGAAAACACAUCGCAAAAGUGCCCAAUUUUGGGGUUUUUGGACCCAUUUUGGCCAACGGGAAGAAAGGAGACCCAACUGGUAGUCAUGUGGGGGGAAAACACAUCGCAAAAGUGCCCAAUUUUGGGGUUUUUGGACCCAUUUUGGCCAACGGGAAGAAAGGAGACCCAACUGGUGGUGUUUGGGGGGAAAACACACCCCAAAAGUGCCCCAAUUUGGGGUUUUUUGACCCAUUUUGGCCAAUGAAAGAUGGGAGACCCAACUGGUGGUGUUUGGGGGGAAAACACACCCCAAAAGUGCCCAAAUUUGGGGUUUUUGGACCCAUUUUGGCCAAUGAAAGAUGGUAGAGCCAACCAGUUGUGUUGGGAGAUCCAAUGUGUGGGGUUUGGGGGGGGAAAACACCCCAAAAGUGCCCAAUUUGGGGUUUUUUUUGACCCAUUUUGGCCAACGGGAAGAAGGGAGACCCAACUGGUGGUGUUUGGGGGGAAAACACACCCCAAAAGUGCCCAAAUUUGGGGUUUUUUGACCCAUUUUGGCCAAUGAAAGAUGGUAGAGCCAACUGGUGGUGUUGGGAGAUCCAAUGUUUGGGGUUUGGGGGGAAAACACACCUCAAAAGUGCCCAAUUUUGGGGUUUUUUGACCCAUUUUGGCCAAUGAAAGAUGGGAGACCCAACUGGUGGUGAUUUGGGGGGAAAACACACCUCAAAAGUACCCAAUUUUGGGUUUUUUUUGACCCAUUUUGGCCAAUGAAAGAUGGUAGAGCCAACCGGUUAUGUUGGGAGAUCCAAUGUUUGGGGUUUGGGGGGAAAACACACCCCAAAAGUGCCCAAAUUUGGGGUUUUUGGACCCAUUUUUGGCCAACGGGAAGAAGGGAGACCCAACUGGUGGUGAUUUGGGGGGAAAACACACCCCAAAAGUGCCCAAUUUUGGGAUUUUUUGACCCAUUUUGGCCAACGGGAAGAAAGUAGACUCAACUGGUGGUAUCUGGGGGGAGAACACCCCAAAAGUGCCCAAAUUUGGCGUUUUUGGACCCAUUUUGGCCAAUGAAAAAUGGUAGACCCAACUGGUGGUGUUGGCAGAUCCAAUGUGUGGGGUUUGGGGGGAAAUACACCUCAAAAGUGCCCAAAUUUGGGUUUUUUUGACCCAUUUUGGCCAAUGAAAGAUGGGAGACCCAACUGGUGGUGAUUUGGGGGGAAAACACACCUCAGAAGUGCCCAAUUUUGGGGUUUUUGGACCCAUUUUGGCCAACGGGAAGAAAGUAGACCCAAGUGGUGGUGUUUGGGGGGAAAACACCCCUCAAAAGUCCCCAAAUUUGGGUUUUUUUGACCCAUUUUGGCCAAUGAAAGAUGGUAGAGCCAACUGGUGGUGUUGGGAGAUCCAAUGUGUGGGGUUUGGGUGGAAAACACACCCCAAAAGUGCCCAAUUUUGGGGUUUUUUGAUCCAUUUUGGCCAACAAGAAGAUGGGAGACCCAACUGGCGGUGUUUGGGGGGAAAACACACCCCAAAAGUGCCCAAUUUUGGGAUUUUUUGACCCAUUUUGGCCAACGGGAAGAAAGUAGACCCAACUGGUGGUAUCUGGGGGGAAAACACACCCCAAAAGUGCCCAAAUUUGGCGUUUUUGGACCCAUUUUGGCCAAUGAAAGAUGGUAGACCCAACUGGUGGUGUUGGCAGAUCCAAUGUGUGGGGUUUGGGGGGGAAAACACCCCAAAAGUGCCCAAUUUGGGGUUUUUUUGACCCAUUUUGGCCAACGGGAAGUAGGGAGACCCAACUGGUGGUGAUUUGGGGGGAAAACACACCUGAAAAGUGCCCAAUUUUGGGGUUUUUGGACCCAUUUUGGCCAACGGGAAGAAGGGAGACCCAACUGGUGGUGUUUGGGGGGAAAACACACCCCAAAAGCGCCCAAAUUUGGGGUUUUUGGACCCAUUUUGGCCAAUGAAAGAUGGGAGACCCAACUGGUGGUGAUUUGGGGGGAAAACACACCUCAAAAGUGCCCAAAUUUGGGGUUUUUGGACCCAUUUUGGCCAAUGAAAGAUGGGAGACCCAACUGGUGGUGAUUUGGG